CCUCCCCCUGCCCCGUGUCCGCAGCCCCGAGGAGCUCCAACGAGCGGGGCUGCGGCACCGCGGCAGGGAGGAGCUGCUCCGGGACAGCCACCGGGGCCUCGGGCCGCUCAGCUGAUACACCUGCCAGCACAUCUUGAGUGGGAAGGGCCACAAGAGGAGCACUGAGCUGAACCCUUCUCUGAACGCCUCGUCUGAGGAUUGAACGUGCAACCUGGGUAUUUUCAGUGCUCUGCUCCAACCAAGCCAAUCUCAGGUCUGUGGCAGUGUCAUGCCUGGGAUGGGAAUGCCAGCAAGGGAAUUCCUAUGCCAAUGCAGCUCCUUCUUUGAUGCUGAUGCUGCUUUACGCAGCAGCCCCUGGAAUGUCCCAGGGCAGAGCUCUGUAGCCAGCACCUGACCGUAGAACAACACAGGUUAAGGCUUGGGUGACAGCAUAAAGCUCUUCCCAUAACCCUGAUUUCCUGCCCUUUUCAGCAUUUCCCUGAGGGCUGUAAAGGUGCUUGUGCUGUGUCUCUUUGCAGGGAGGAAUGAGCAAGACAAGCCCUGAGGGCUCCCUUGGUCCAUGGCUGAAGUUCUUCUGGAGAGCGUCAGGGCUGGUCCCGCCUGCAGAGGGGCGUCUCCUGCAGGUGUGCAGGGAAGGAGCCGUGCCUGCAUCAUCCCGCCCACAGCACGCAGCGUGCCAAACACGUGUCCCAGGGAUGGGCGCCGGGCUGCUCGGACAGCGCUGGCACAGGCACGGCUGAAGGGCUGCCCGGAGCUCCUCAGCCAGGGGCUGUUCUGCACGGGCACGGGGAGAUGCCUCACGGCGCACGGAGGCCACCGAGAGCCCAGAGAUGCCCCGAGGAGCAGCUGGCACUGCCUGGGCACGGGCGGCUCGGGCCAUCCGCAGAGGGGCGCAGAUGGCGAUUCCCAGUUCCGACCUCCCGGAGCUCCUGCGCGGCUGCCAGAAAUGAAAUCCCCAGCAAUUCUCUCAGAGAUGCCUUAAAAUGAAAGCUUAGACAAAUGUGUUUGGAUGAAGUUUGGAGUUUUUCAGGGAGCCAGCUGGAAGCUGAUGAAGAAGUGAUGGAAAGCUUUUUCAGGUGGCCUGGUGAUGCCAGGGGGGUUUCUCCUGCUCCUCUCCAGCCUGCGGCCUCUUCUCUCUUCCCCACCAGCUGCUGCCAAGGAAGGAGGACACAUUAUUCCAGGUUUUCCCAGUUAGGAGCUGCAAGGAAUUCAGGCAAAAGAUAGCGGGGAACAGCUGUAAAUUCAAAGGAAGAAAGAGAAGAUCUACCAGCAAAGGGGAAAGGCUUCAGAAAACAUUUCUGCAAUUAAUAAUUAUUUCCAAUUCCCCAGUGAGAAGAGAUCUUUGGGGAAUCCCUGGUUGUUGUCCAGAAUCUAUAUAAAUCGAAGUCAAGAAAUAAACUUCUCUCUUUUU